GGUCAGAUUCUAGAUGAAGCAGGACUUUUCUGUGGCAAGUGACAGCGACCCAACCUGAACUGGCUUAAUUAAAAUGGGCACCACUGACCUUCCUCUGCUUUACGGGAGGCCCCGGGCUCCAUGAGGGGACAAACAUUCAACCUCAGGGAACUGCUUCACAGUUACGCAAUCAGAAAAGUCCAGAGGAAAAUGCCGACUUCAGCACCGCGUUCUGAUGUUACUUGGAUUUGUCGGAAUGUUUUUAAACAAACACGCACGGCACUUUGCUCUGGGCGCUGCUCUCCACACUUCGCCUGUACGGAGGCGCCAGCAGUGGCCACACCUCACCGUUUCACAGAGGAGGAGACCGAAGCGUGGACAGGUGGACAGGCUGCCCGGAGGUGGAAGGCUGCAGAACUGGGAUUCAACCCUGGCAUCUGGCUCCAGGGUCUGGCUCAUAAACACUGCUCUGCAUGCCGGGUCCCGAGGACCGCACACACCCUAGGCUGACCUGCCCCUGCCCGCGUCAAGGGCUAAGGUCCCCACUUCAAGAAGUCGUUCUCCAGAAUUGUGUAAGGGGGAGGCGUGUGUGCGUGUGUGUACGCCUGUGAGUGUGUGUUUGAGGAUGUGUAGGUGUGUGUGUGUUGUCUGAGUGUAUGUGAAUGUGCACGAGUGUGCGUUGAGUGUGAGUUGUAACCGUGCGUAAAUGUGAAAGUGAGCGUGUGUGAGUGAACUGUGAAUGCAUUGUGUGUUCGUGUGUGUGUGUUUGAGAGGACGUGUGGGUGGGUGUGAGCGUGUAGAGGAGGUUGGGUGUGUGUGUGCGUGUGUGGCAGCCUAAAGACUCCUGAGAAGAGCUGGCAAAGAAAGGGGGGGGGCGGGAGUGAGACUUUGAGAUGCGCCUGAAAAAAUUAAAGAGCGAUUAGUCAAAA